rnacentral:lncRNA from 10 species
CAGCAGGGGCGGCCGCAGGUCGCCGUUCAAUAAUACUCAAGGGAUUUGUACAGCCCUGUAGGAGACACCUCCAGAGAAAGUAACAGCUCUCAAUUGAUUAGCUGAGAGAGCAGAGAAGAGGAGAAGCAGCUGGAUGUCAGAGACUGCAGUUUGACGUUGGAGAAAAGCAGCUUGACUUCAGAGGGACAGCUUGACAGCAUGGAUUCAGAGAGGAGAAGAUCACCUUCCUGCUCCGUCCCCUUUCCAGCUCCCUUUCCCACUGAGAGCCACUUACACAGGCAAUAAAAUC